rnacentral:miRNA from 1 species
UAAAUGCAUUAGUCUGGCAUGGC